rnacentral:rRNA from 1 species
AGUGAGGAAUAUUGGUCAAUGGGCGCGAGCCUGAACCAGCCAAGUCGCGUGAGGGAAGACGGCCCUACGGGUUGUAAACCUCUUUUGCCGGGGAGCAAUGUCCGCCACGCGUGGCGGGGCUGAGAGUACCCGGCGAAUAAGCAUCGGCUAACUCCGUGCC